UAGAUAGACACAAUUAUUAAUAUAGUCUAACCAAUGCAAUGUUUAGAUAGAAACAAUCCUAAAUAUAGUCAAACGAAUGCUAUGUUUAGAUAGAAACAAUCCUAAAUAUAGUUAAACCAGAGCUAUAAUUGGAUAUUGUUAUUCUGCGGUCUAUAUGUUGUAAUAACAAAACGUGAAAAUGCUACUUUUCUCUAGUACACCCAC
rnacentral:lncRNA from 1 species